rnacentral:rRNA from 1 species
CAGUCGCCGCGGUAAUACGUAGGGCGCGAGCGUUGUCCGGAAUCAUUGGGCGUAAAGCGCGUGUAGGCGGCUGAGUAAGUCUGCUGUGAAAGUCCAGGGCUCAACCCUGGAACGUCGGCGGAUACUGCUCAGCUGGAGUACGGGAGGGGCGAGUGGAAUUCCUGGUGUAGCGGUGGAAUGCGCAGAUAUCAGGGGGAACACCUAUGGCGAAGGCAGCUCGCUGGAACGUUACUGACGCUGAGACGCGAAAGCGAGGGGAGCAAACAGGAUUAGAGACCCCAGUAGUCCCUGUCUCUUAUAC